rnacentral:rRNA from 1 species
AACGAACGCUGGCGGCGUGCUUAACACAUGCAAGUCGAACGCGAACGUUUUCUUCGGGAAACUAGUAGAGUGGCGCACGGGUGAGUAACGCGUAAGUAACCUACCCUCGCAUCUGGGAUAACCCACCGAAAGGUGUGCUAAUACCAGAUACGUCUGGAAUUAUACAUUGACUUCAGAGAAAGGUGGCCUCUGAUUUAAGCUACUGUGCGGGGAGGGGCUUGCGUACCAUUAGCUAGUUGGUAGGGUAACGGCCUACCAAGGCGAUGAUGGUUAGCGGGUCUGAGAGGAUGAUCCGCCACACUGGAACUGGAACACGGACCAGACUCCUACGGGAGGCAGCAGUGAGGAAUAUUGCGCAAUGGGGGGCAACCCUGACGCAGCGACGCCGCGUGGAUGAUGAAGGCCUUCGGGUUGUAAAAUCCUGUCAGAUGGGAAGAAAUGAUAUCUGCUUAAUACG